UCGGGAGGGGAUUAGUGGCGAACGGGUGAGUAACACGUGGGCAAUCUGCCCUUCACUCUGGGACAAGCCCUGGAAACGGGGUCUAAUACCGGAUACGACCUCCGACCGCAUGGUCUGGUGGUGGAAAGCUCCGGCGGUGAAGGAUGAGCCCGCGGCCUAUCAGCUUGUUGGUGGGGUGAUGGCCUACCAAGGCGACGACGGGUAGCCGGCCUGAGAGGGCGACCGGCCACACUGGGACUGAGACACGGCCCAGACUCCUACGGGAGGCAGCAGUGGGGAAUAUUGCACAAUGGGCGAAAGCCUGAUGCAGCGACGCCGCGUGAGGGAUGACGGCCUUCGGGUUGUAAACCUCUUUCAGCAGGGAAGAAGCGAGAGUGACGGUACCUGCAGAAGAAGCGCCGGCUAACUACGUGCCAGCAGCCGCGGUAAUACGUAGGGCGCAAGCGUUGUCCGGAAUUAUUGGGCGUAAAGAGCUCGUAGGCGGCUUGUCGCGUCGGAUGUGAAAGCCCGGGGCUUAACCCCGGGUCUGCAUUCGAUACGGGCAGGCUAGAGUUCGGUAGGGGAGAUCGGAAUUCCUGGUGUAGCGGUGAAAUGCGCAGAUAUCAGGAGGAACACCGGUGGCGAAGGCGGAUCUCUGGGCCGAUACUGACGCUGAGGAGCGAAAGCGUGGGGAGCGAACAGGAUUAGAUACCCUGGUAGUCCACGCCGUAAACGUUGGGAACUAG
rnacentral:rRNA from 1 species